CCCUUAGAUGUCCUGGGCCGCACGCGCGCUACAAUGAUGCAACCAACGAGUGCUGCUCCUUGGCCGAGAGGCCCGGGGAACCUUGCAAACUGCAUCGUGCUGGGGAUAGAUGAUUGCAAUUCUUCAUCUUGAACGAGGAAUACCUUGUAAGCGCGGGUCAUCAUCCCGCGCUGAAUACGUCCCUGCCCUUUGUACACACCGCCCGUCGCUCCUACCGAUUGAGUGGUCCGGUGAGGCUUUGGGAUCUGAGCGGAAAGAGCGUUUCGCUGUUUCUGCUCGGAAAACUCAGUCGAACCUUAUCAUUUAGAGGAAGGAGAAGUCGUAACA
rnacentral:rRNA from 1 species